UGGGGAAUAUUGCACAAUGGGCGCAAGCCUGAUGCAGCGACGCCGCGUGCGGGAUGGAGGCCUUCGGGUUGUAACCGCUUUGUUCAAGGGCAAGGCAGGCUUUCGGGCCUGUUGAGUGGAUUGUUCGAAUAAGCACCGGCUAACUACGUGCC
rnacentral:rRNA from 1 species